AAUCGGAAUUACUGGGCGUAAAGCGUGCGCAGGCGGCUUUGCAAGACAGAGGUGAAAUCCCCGGGCUCAACCUGGGAACUGCCUUUGUGACUGCAAGGCUAGAGUACGGCAGAGGGGGAUGGAAUUCCGCGUGUAGCAGUGAAAUGCGUAGAUAUGCGGAGGAACACCGAUGGCGAAGGCAAUCCCCUGGGCCUGUACUGACGCUCAUGCACGAAAGCGUGGGGAGCAAACAGGAUUAGAUACCCUGGUAGUCAAGGGCG
rnacentral:rRNA from 1 species